GAUGAACGCUGGCGGCGUGCUUAAUACAUGCAAGUCGAGCGGACGGACGAGUAGUUUGAUUUUCUGAUGUUAGCGGCGGACGGGAGAGUAACACGUGGAUACUCUCCCUCUCAGCCUGGGAUACCUUCGGGAAGGCGGAGCUAAUACCGGAUGAUAUUUUGUACCGCAUGGUUCAAGAGUGAAUGACGGUCUUGCUGUAACUUAUAGAUUGAUCCGCGCUGCAUUAGCUAGUUGGUAAGGUAACGGCUUACCGAGGGAACGAUGCAUAGCCGAUCGGACCGGGGGAUCGCCGACACGGGAACUUGUACGCGGUCCAUACGCCUACGAGAGGCAGCAGUAGGGAAUCUUCCGCAAUGGUCGAAAGCCUGACGGAGCAACGGCGCGUGAGAGAUGAAGGUCUUCGGAUCGUAAAACUCUGUUAUGAGUUAAGAACAUAUUUGUAAGUAACUGUGCACAUCUUGACGGUACCUAAUCAGAAAGCCACGGCUAACUACGUG
rnacentral:rRNA from 1 species